GGAUAAACUCAGUGGGUGACCUUAACCCAACUUGAUAAUGAAUCAAACCAACCCAAACCAGCUUGAAAUGGACACAACUCAAAAUUGCCCUACUGCCACCUCUACUUUCAGUGUAAUUGAAUAUCAAGGAAUUUCUCAAACUCUACCUUGCCUGUUUAGUAAGAGCACCAUCACUUCUCAACAUUACCAAGGGAUUAGAAGAUAUUAGGAUUGCUGAGAUUUUUACUAGAGAAUCAAAAUUAUGCUAAUUAAAAUUUAAUCUGUAGUGCGAGUGUAAUCUUUAUUAGUGGGAUUUGGCAAAAAUCCUUGCGUACAAGAAAAGCAACUUAGCUUAGUAAAAUGUAACCAAAAUAAGGUAUUUGGAAGUAUGGAUAGUUGUUGACAAAGAAAAGCCAUUUUUCUCUAUAAAAGGGAGGAGGAUGUUGCAGUAAUUGAGAGAGUUGGACAGGUAUUAUUAUAAGAAGUUUUAUGCUGAAAAUGAAGAAGAAAAAGAAGAAAAAAUUUCUGGGUUGUUACUUCAGUUAUUGUUUCUGCUCUCCUAAAAUAUUUUGUUUUUUCUGUUUUCU
rnacentral:misc_RNA from 1 species